rnacentral:rRNA from 1 species
AGCGAACACUGGCGGCAGGCUUAACACAUGCAAGUCGAGCGGGCAUCUUCGGAUGUCAGCGGCAGACGGGUGAGUAACACGUGGGAACGUACCCUUCGGUUCGGAACAACUCUGGGAAACUGGAGCUAAUACCGGAUACGCCCUUAUGGGGAAAGGCUUACUGCCGAAGGAUCGGCCCGCGUCUGAUUAGCUAGUUGGUGGGGUAACGGCCUACCAAGGCGACGAUCAGUAGCUGGUCCGAGAGGAUGAUCAGCCACACUGGGACUGAGACACGGCCCAGACUCCUACGGGGGGGAGCAGGGGGAAAUAUUGGAAAAGGGGCGCAAGCCUGACCCAGCCAUGCCGGGGGAGGGAUGAAGGCUUUGGGGUUGAAAAGCUCUUUUGUCCGGGACGAUAAUGACGGUACCGGAAGAAUAAGCCCCGGCUAACUUCGU